AAAUCAAAUGUAUCAUUUAUUCAUAUGAGAAAAAAAUGAAUUAUCAAGGGAAUGUGUUUUGGACUGGUUGUUCGUUUGUAAAAUUUAAAAUUAGAAAAAAUUAGUGAAUCUUUGAUAGACAAAAAUAAGGCAGGCAAUUUGUAGGAAAAACAUGGAAACCAAUUUCAUUGAUGAACUUAUCCAUAUCCAUUCCUUAUUGUGUAUUUGAAUAAUAAUAAUGAGAAUAAAGCAUAAUCUAUCUAUUUGCAACAGUAUCCAAAACAUUAUCAACGCUCUGAAUAUCACAUUUGGACCUAUCCACAACAACCAAACAUUGGACAAAGAAUGUAUAAACCGAGUAUUCAAGAACAAAAUUCUGCAAAUCAUUUAGCGUGAUAAUAAUCAACAAAAUGGCUCAACUUCAAACUCUUGAGGCAAAACGAGUAAACCAACAACAACAACGCUCAUCGUAUCGACACCAUCACAGCAGGACAACAGAAACAAGAAAUGUGCGUUAUGUUCAAGGUCGAAUCACAGCAACAGUGUGGCUCAGCAAAAACACGAAAGCAGUUGGCUAAAUUUUUUUUCGGGGUUUUUGUUUUCGGUCAUUUGGUUUCGGUGUUUCGGUUUUCGGGGUUUUUGUUUUUGGUCAUUUGGUUUCGGUGUUUCGGUUUUCGGGGUUUUUGUUUUCGGGAUUUUGACCUACAACCGUGGGGAAAACUUUUGAAUGCCGCUGAAACAGUUCGUCCAGCUCAGAAGUAGAAGUCGCUUCCAAAGAAACGCAUUCUGUGGUAUGUAGCUUUGACAAAGCUUUUUUUCAUUGUUCUAGCUCAGCACACUUUGCUGCAGAUUUUGCAUCCAAUAGAUGGUGCAGUCAUUCAAUAGAACAUAGAAAGAGUUCGAAUUCGAAUUUUUCGAAUUGAUUAUUGUGAUAAUACAUGUGUCACACGUGAUUUUCAUUUUGUGUGUCUGUGUGAGUGUGUAUUUGAUGAUGAAAUCUUGCCUGAAGACUGCAUUCAUUGGAAUGAUUUUUUCUGUUUUUGUUCCCGUGAUCUAUGAUCUACUCAUCGUUUGAAAAGAGCAUUUAAGAUUCAAUGUUGAGUGUCUUCAUGCGAUGAACCCACAAGGUUAUCCUAUAGGAUCUAUAGACACAAACUUGGAUUAAACAUUGGAUCGAUUAUCAUAUUCAUCCGCAAUAUUGAACCACAGAGUGGUUUGCUCAAUGGCACGCGUUUAUUUGUAAAUAGACGCAGCAUUGAAGCUCGAAUAUUGACAAGGAGGCUAUGAUUCAUUUUGCAGCAAAAUGAUCGAGAUCUUAAGCUACCAUUUAAAUUGGUGCGUGGACGAUUUCCUGUCGUAUUGGCUUUUGCUCUGACAAUUAAUUAAUGUUUUAAGGGAAAUCUUUCGAUAAAAUAAGUGUGUACCUUCCUACACCAGCAUUGCAACAUGGAAUGAUUUAUGUGGCUAAAAAGCUAGAUCACAUUAACCGUUCAUAUACUACGAGACAUCAAAGCCUCAGCUGGCCUGCUCCAACGCAAAAAUUUAGCUGCUUGUGUAAUUGCGUUAUAUUGAAUCAGCGCUACAUUCUAGAGCAGUCAUUCUCAAAUUCUCAACCUUUUUUUUGUUGCCACUGAUUUGUGAACAAUUUUUGUGUAGCGGCACAGGGGUGAGAGUGACUGAUUCUAGAGAAAAAGGAUACUGAUGAAAUUUUUUAUUGCCAUGAUUUAUUUCCACUUAAUUUGUGGUUUCUUUUAUACGCACAGUGGCGACUUCUUUUCCACUGAAUAUUUUCUUUGUUCAUUUUUUUUUGAUUUCAUCAUCAUCAAUCUGAAAAAAAUAACACAUAAUCAAUUAUCAAACAAUCAGUGAGAAUAAAAGAAAAUCUUUCCCAUAUAAUGGAUGAUUCUCGUAAUAAUCGAGCUCCGCUAAAGCAAUGGCUAACCCCAGGACAGCCACCAGUUCCGACGCCCAGGCCAAAGCUUCACCAGAAGAAAGUAUUGUUAUUGGUUCACCAUGAGCUUCUUGAGUCGAGCCAAACGAUAACAGCGGAAGUCUUGCCAACAACUGGAGCGAUUCAAAUUGGCAAUUGACCAGAAAGACCAGCCCUUUUUCCAUUACGACAAUGACCCGACUUUUCGUCACCAGUUAUCAUUCGGUUGAAAAACGGAUCAACUCUAUGUUUCAGCAACAAUGAAGUGCAAAUCAUUACACGUUGUCCAAGGUUGACUUCGGACAAAUUGUGGGGCGUCCAACUACCCAUUCUGCUUUUCUUCCCCAAUGAAUGAAGAUGAUUAAAAACUGUCGCACUGGAACAA